UGAGCUCAUUUUUCUCAUUAUAAAUAACGGUCAUUCCUCCUUUCUUUGGUACCACCUAUACUGGGCAUACCCAUGAACUGUCAGAGAUAGGAGAAGUAAUUCCAGCUUCAAGUAUCUUUAGUACCUCUUUUCUCACUUCCUCUUUCAUUUUUGGAUUUUAUCUCCUCUGAGGUUGAGCCACUGGUUUGUAAUUGUCUUCCAUGAAUAUUCUACGCAUGCAAUAAGUUGGGCUUAUGCCUUUGAGAUCUGAGAUUGACCAUCCA
rnacentral:lncRNA from 1 species